rnacentral:rRNA from 1 species
AGACGGAGGGCGCAAGCGUUGUUCGGAAUUACUGGGCGUAAAGCGCGGGCAGGCGGUCUGUUAAGUCUUCUGUGAAAACCCGGGGCUCAACCCCGUGGAAUGCAGAGGAUACUGGCAGACUGGAGACCGGUAGAGGCUAGCGGAAUUCCUGGUGUAGCGGUGGAAUGCGUAGAUAUCAGGAAGAACACCUGUGGCGAAGGCGGCUAGCUGGGCCGGGUCUGACGCUCAUCCGCGAAAGCGUGGGGAGCAAACAGGAUUAGAUACCCUAGUAGUCC